ACACUUACCUGGCGGGGAGAUAGCAUGAUCAUGGUGGUGGUUUUCCCGGGGCGAGGCUUGCCCAUUGCACUUUAGAUGUGCUGACCCCUGCACCUUCCCCAAGUGGGGAAAAGUAGACUGCAUAAUUUGUGGGAGUGGGAAACCGCAUUCACCAUCUCCUC